rnacentral:rRNA from 1 species
GUAGGUGGCAAGCGUUGUCCGGAGUUAUUGGGCGUAAAGCGCGCGCAGGCGGUCCUUUAAGUCUGAUGUGAAAGCCCACGGCUCAACCGUGGAGGGUCAUUGGAAACUGGGGGACUUGAGUACAGAAGAGGAAAGCGGAAUUCCAAGUGUAGCGGUGAAAUGCGUAGAGAUUUGGAGGAACACCAGUGGCGAAGGCGGCUUUCUGGUCUGUAACUGACGCUGAGGCGCGAAAGCGUGGGGAGCAAACAGGAUUAGAUACCCUGGUAGUCCACGCCGUAAACGAUGAGUGCUAAGUGUUAGGGGGUUUCCCGCCCCCCUUAGUGCUGCAGCUAACGCAUUAAGCACUCCGCCUGGGGAGUACGGCCGCAAGGCUG